GCGCUAGUAAUUCAGUUGGAUAGAGUAUCUAGCUACGAACUAGAAAGUCAGGAGUUCAAAUCUUCUCUAGCGCACCA
rnacentral:tRNA from 1 species